rnacentral:tRNA from 1 species
UAGUUUCGGGUGUUGAGCACAUUAAAUUUUGAGUUUAAGGGGAGUAGGGUAAAUCUGCUGUUACUAA